UUAUUGCAUUUAUCAUCUCAUCUUUCUGUGUGUGUGUGUGUCACACAGACAGGCUACACACGGCACUUCAGAGAUGAUUUUAGUUUCUUUAACGUGUCACCACACCACACUGGCGUGCUGGCGUGCCAAAUAAAUACAUAAAAUACUUUAAAAACUCUACCUCAGAAAUGUCAGGCAAAAAAAAAAAAAAAAACAAUCUAGACAUUGACGGGGCAUAUGUAUUCAGCACUAACAUUAAGAUAUUAUCCCGUCAAAGCCAAAGUCACUUUAUUUUUGUAAGGAGAAAAUGGAGUUUAUUCUUGUGCCUCUGAUGUUCCGUGUGUCUUUCUCACGCUCUCUCUCUCUCUCCGCCGCCUGUUUCCUCACACACGCAUGCGUCAAUCGGUGGCUUGACAGGAAGAUUUGCAUCAUAUCUUUCUUUAGAAAGCCUGAAAUUAUCGUUAAAAAAAAAAAAAAAAAAAAAAAAAAGCCCGUUUUGGGAGAAAAAUCCUCCUCACCCCGACCUGCAGAACAAUGUAGCCCACAGCUGAGGACGCCCCCGACUUUUUUCAAUACAAGCGCCGACCGGAUGCCUGCGAGAAGGAAAAGCUCCUCAAAUCCUCCCGGUCGGCAGGCAAUGAUGCUCAUCAGCAACCGCGAGGGCUACCACUGAGUCUGAGACCUGAACCUCAAGACAUGGUGCAAAGCUCCCGUGAGUCAGGAAUUUGCAUUCUGAAUAAUGAAGUGGGGAAACCUUUAUUGGACAAACAGCUGCUUGUGAAAUCUGAGCUCGACUGUAGGUAUUGUAAAAUCAAAAACAGAGACAGCUCAAAUGUGAAAUAAUGAAAGAGACAGUUAAAGAAUGUAAAAGCUUUUGAAGCCAGACAGACUGAUGAAGAAAAAAAUGACAAUUCUACAAAUCUGUAUCAGUGAAUGAUUAAUUAAUUUUUGUUGAAUGAUCUGUUCGAGCCUUGCGAGUUAUCAGUUUCCAUUUCUUUUAGACUUUUACAGAAGAUCUCAAGAGACCGCUAGUUCAAAAGACGGUUCAAUUUAGAGUUCCCAUUGGAAAUGGUUUCAGAAAGUCUUUGCCAUACGUUGGGCUUUGAUGUGUUUUAACUGUCAAAAUCUUACUGUUCAGAGAUGGGGGAAAUAAAUUCUGUUAAUUUUUCCAUUGUAA